rnacentral:rRNA from 1 species
GAGUUUGAUCUUGGCUCAGGAUGAACGCUGGCGGCGUGCCUAAUACAUGCAAGUCGAGCGAACGGACGAGAAGCUUGCUUCUCUGAUGUUAGCGGCGGACGGGUGAGUAACACGUGGAUAACCUACCUAUAAGACUGGGAUAACUUCGGGAAACCGGAGCUAAUACCGGAUAAUAUUUUGAACCGCAUGGUUCAAAAGUGAAAGACGGUCUUGCUGUCACUUAUAGAUGGAUCCGCGCUGCAUUAGCUAGUUGGUAAGGUAACGGCUUACCAAGGCAACGAUGCAUAGCCGACCUGAGAGGGUGAUCGGCCACACUGGAACUGAGACGCGGUCCAGACUCCUACGGGAGGCAGCAGUAGGGAAUCUUCCGCAAUGGGCGAAAGCCUGACGGAGCAACGCCGCGUGAGUGAUGAAGGUCUUCGGAUCGUAAAACUCUGUUAUUAAGGAAGAACAUAUGUGUAAGUAACUGUGCACAUCUUGACGGUACCUAAUCAGAAAGCCA